rnacentral:lncRNA from 1 species
GCUGGGACCUUCCUGUGCAUGGGGUGUCCUUCAUCCCCAGUGUGCCGUGUCCUCCUGAAUCUGUGCUCAUUGCAGGGAAGACACGUCCUGGUUCAGGGAAGACACGUCCUGGUACACGGAAGAAACAUCCAGGUCCAGGGAAGACACGUCCAGGUGCAGGGGAGACACGUCGAGGUCCAGGGAAGACACGUCCAGGUGCAGGGAAGACACGUCCUGGUACAGGGAAGAAACAUCCAGGUCCAGGGAAGACACGUCCAGGUGCAGGGGAGACACGUCGAGGUCCAGGGAAGACACGUCCAGAUGCAGGGGAGACACGUCCAGGGGCAGGGAAGACACGUCCAGGUGCAGAAGAGACAUGUCCAGGUCCAGGGAAGACACAUCGAGGUCCAGGGAAGACACAUCCAGGUGCAGGGGAGACACGUCCCAGUGCAGGGGAGACACGUGCAGGUGCAGGGGAGACACGUCCAGGUGCAGGGGAGACACGUCGAGGUCCAGGGUCCAGGGAACACAGGUGGGGUCUGCCGGCAGCCCCUGGUCCCCUGCCAGCGCACCAUCAGGUCCCAGACGUUGUGUCCUGGGGGGACGUGGGGGAUGGUCCCACCGCUCACCUGUGCGUCACCCCCCCAAGUGCCCGCCUCGCCUGCCAACACAGCCCGUAGCCCUCUGUCCUUUGCUCUCGUUCCAGCACGUUCUGUUGGUUUGGGUCACCGUGGCACGUGCCUGUGACUUGACAGCGCGUCUCCCUUCUCAGUCCCGUUGCCGACCUGCUGGCCUCGCUCCUUUAACCUGCAUCUGUGCUCCCACUUGUGCCACCUGGCCGACUGCCACCCUGGGGCCACGACAUCAGAUGGUGGCUUCCUUCCGGGCCCGCCGCCGCGGCCAUCGCCCCAUCGCCACGGCCUCUCCGUUGUCUGCGGUUUUCCAGCCGAGGGACAACGGUGGUGCCGCUGCGGGGCCCGCCAACCGCGUGUUGCCCCGGCAAAUCCGUGGACCCUCCCGUGGAAAUCUCCAGGCGGGAUGAGCGGUGGCCCCACAAACCUCGG